rnacentral:tRNA from 1 species
GCCCAGUUAACUCAAUCAGUAGAGCAUGAGACUCUUAAUCUCAGGGUCAUGGGUUUUUUUCCCACGUUGGGCG